CGGCUACCAGAGCAACAACGGCCUCCGCGGCUGCACCGCCGACUUCCCGGAGGAGCGAAGGCGCCCCGCAAAAACACGCCGCAGAGCGGAACCCGGGCCCCGCCGCCCCAGCAGGGGGCAGCAGCGACGCAGACAGGAAGCCCAGGUCCUGGGCGCUGGACACCUCGGCGGCCUCCGCGACCAAUGAGCGCCACACCAACCUCCAGGCGGCGCUCCCACCGCACCUGCCGCCGCCGCCGCCCCGGGGCGAGAACUGCGCCGUCGGCCCUGCCACGCUGACCCGUGGGGCCCCGGCCGCCGCCCCAGGGUGACGAGGAGGAGCAGGACGGGGCCCCAGAGAAGGGCAAGAGCUCAGAGCUCGGGCUCCAGUGCCAGGAAAAGGCCAGGAGCAGAAGAUGGAGAGAUGGAGAAGCAGCAGGUGCGGAGAAGCGGCGCUCCACGGGCUGGGUCAGCAUCCGCUGGCGGAUCUUAGAUGACUUUGAAGAUGAGGAAGCAGGGCAGAAAGAGCGGAAACGAGAAGGUGCAAUGACACAACGGAACCCAAUGCAGAAUCCAGCCCCAGGAC
rnacentral:lncRNA from 1 species